UGGGGAAUAUUGCGCAAUGGGGGGAACCCUGACGCAGCCACGCCGCGUGAAUGAAGAAGGCCUUAGGGUUGUAAAGUUCUUUCGGUAUUGAGGAAGGUUGAUGUGUUAAUAGCACAUCAAAUUGACGUUAAAUACAGAAGAAGCACCGGCUAACUCCGUGCCAGCAGCCGCGGUAAUACGGAGGGUGCGAGCGUUAAUCGGAAUAACUGGGCGUAAAGGGCACGCAGGCGGUUAUUUAAGUGAGGUGUGAAAGCCCCGGGCUUAACCUGGGAAUUGCAUUUCAGACUGGGUAACUAGAGUACUUUAGGGAGGGGUAGAAUUCCACGUGUAGCGGUGAAAUGCGUAGAGAUGUGGAGGAAUACCGAAGGCGAAGGCAGCCCCUUGGGAAUGUACUGACGCUCAUGUGCGAAAGCGNGGGGGAGCAAACAGGAUUAGAUACCCUGGUAGUCCACGCUGUAAACGCUGUCGAUUUGGGGGUUGGGGUUUAACUCUGGCGCCCGUAGCUAACGUGAUAAAUCGACCGCCUGGGGAGUACGGCCGCAAGGUUA
rnacentral:rRNA from 1 species